CUCGUUUGAAGCCUCCCUCAGGUUUGAUAACCUUAGGUUUGAAGCCUCAAGCUCCUCUCCUGUUUCAAACCACCAUCUUUCCUUUGUUCUCUCCCUUCUUCCCUCUCUAUGCCUUCAAAGUAAACCAAACAAUUUCAAAGCCAUGGACCAACACAAGACCGACGACAAUCUCCGUUACGUAGGUGGCCUCACACGUGUUCUCGCCGCCGAUGCCUCCAUUUCCUUUGCAGGUUUGUUCCAUCUGCUUCAAUUCAUUAUUUUCCUUUUGAUUUUUGCUUAAUUUACUUGAAUUUCUACUUGAUUUCUCUUUCGCAUGCACCAACCCCGACGGAUCGCCGAUUUCCACCGCCGAUAUAUUCCAAAAUGGCCAGAUCCGUCCUGUGUUCCCGAUUUUCAACCUGAAUCUCUUGUUCGUAGAUGUCGACGACGAUGAUUUUUCCAUAGCCAAAGGGGCUGCCGCUUUGGAUGAUCUAACUGAUGAUGAUAUUCGAAUGGCUAUUCAAAUGCUUAUGGUGCAAGAAAUGCUUUAUUUGUGCCUGAGGUAUGAUGAUGACAUAUGCUGCAGUCUUUCAUUUUCCCUUGUAUUAAAUAUUAGAAACUAAUGGCUUGAUUUUACACUGCAUUGGCUGAUAAGGUUCUGAAUUGGUUUUAGGUCCCAUUUGAAUUUUUAGUUAGGAGACAAAUUGCUCGUCUGUUAGACCCAAGCCUUUAGUGUCUUCGAUUUGUUUAUGAUGAACUAAUGAAGGUGAGUAAUAAGGCAUAUGCUACGGAGUUUUAAUUGUAUGUUUCCAUGAAUCAUGAGAUGUAGAUGUAAUCAGGAAGAUAAAAUUUUGCCUGCAGAUAAGCCACGCUUGUGAGGUAAUUGAGUUGCAAAGAUUUCCAGUAUUGAGAAAGCAUCUGGAUGAAGUCAUGGUAAAAUUUUUGCACGAUGGUGUAGAACCUGCUGAGAGAAUGAUAGGAAAUCUUAUUGAGAUGGAGGUAUCUCUUUGUUAACCUCAUUACCACUAUAGUUUAUUCACUCAGAAUUAAGAUUUAGGACAUUGUUGC
rnacentral:lncRNA from 1 species